UGCCAGACUCCUACGGGAGGCAGCAGUGGGGAAUAUUGCACAAUGGGGGGAACCCUGAUGCAGCGACGCCGCGUGAGCGAUGAAGUAUUUCGGUAUGUAAAGCUCUAUCAGCAGGGAAGAAAAUGACGGUACCUGACUAAGAAGCCCCGGCUAACUACGUGCCAGCAGCCGCGGUAAUACGUAGGGGGCAAGCGUUAUCCGGAUUUACUGGGUGUAAAGGGAGCGUAGACGGCUGUGCAAGCCAGAUGUGAAAGCCCGGGGCCCAACCCCGGGACUGCUUUGGAAGCUGUGUAACUUGAGUACAGGAGGGGCAGGCGGAAUUCCUGGUGUAGCGGUGAAAUGCGUAGAUAUCAGGAGGAACACCGGCGGCGAAGGCGGCCUGCUGGACUGAAACUGACGUUGAGGCUCGAAAGCGUGGGGAGCAAACAGGAUUAGAUACCCGCGUA
rnacentral:rRNA from 1 species